ensembl:lncRNA
GGGGAGGCCCCUUAACAGGGUUUUGGGGAAAGGAGUGAGAAUGAGAUUACUCAGUAGAGGACGGACUUGGGAAGGAGGAGGCACAGGAGAAGGCUAUGAUCAGAGGGCAGGAGAUGGCAGUACCAGUAAGAAGGCGGCUAUAGUAACCCAGUAUCUGCCUUUAUUGUAUUCCAAGAAGAGGAGGCUAGCUCCAGAUGCCCCCCAUCCCAGGCCUCAAGGAGGGGUUCUCAGGAAGGACCCAAAGUGCUGGCGGAGAACAGCAAUUCCUCAGGAGCCUAUACUGAGGCCCAGAGCUGCAGGCCCAGGAUGGAGAGCUAAUGGUUGGGGGCCAGGGUCCUAAUUCCCAGGCACAAAGACACUCCUCCAACCCACAAGUGGAUGGGCUGGAUUCUUCCUAGAACUCCCGCGUGUACUCCCUCUGGAGAAGAGGCCCAGCCCUGUGUCUCUGGUCAAGAGAGGAUGUGGAAUUCACAGUGAUGACUCCCUCUCCCUUCAGUCCGGAGCAUGAGGUCCCACAAGGUCAUCACCUUCCCUCUGGCCACAGCUGCUGAUGCAACCUUCAUGCAGCUCUCACCUCACAGCAGAGGGUCUGGGAGAAGGAGGGGAAGGGUGUACUAGGUGAGGCGGUGAGUGGGGACAGAGAAGUCAGAGGGUCUGCUCCUCCCCAAGGAGUGGUAGGUAGGGUGGGGGUCAGACUAAGGAAGCCCUCGGCCCAGGGGAC